UGCUGAGUGGGCGCGAGUCCCUGGCGCGCUAAGGAAUAAAUACCCUAGCAGUAAAACUGCAGAAUUUCUAUGACAAAAGUCCAUUCGAAGCCACCUUGCCGUCACACCUACCGCACUUAACUGGAAGAAAACUGUACUUCCACAUCCUCCAGGUGUCGUUAGUUGGCCGAUUGACCUGCAGGUGACUGAGUGGGUGAGGAUGCAGAUUCUGAAAGGCCUGAGAUCUUGCUCUUGGCUGAAGUGUUUGGUUAGCAGAGUUGUUGCUACAGAAGACAUUUGAGAUAAGGAACAGUCUUCUUAAAAAGGCUUUAACACAGAGGGAAUGGUGUUGGAAAAACUGCAGGAGCUCUGUGUUUAAACAACAAAUCAGUGUGACGAGUGAUCAGGAACCUCUUGAGAAGAAUGGGUGUUGAAAUCUGGAGAAUUAAGGAAGGUGAGAAUAUGCAGAUAUCUCCUUUACAUCAGCAGCCAAUUAACUGCAGUCAUAUAGCAGAUAUGUUAUGCAUAUGAAUAUGGUGAUUCUGUUUAUGUCAUUCAAUUUGUGCAAUGCGCAUGGGGUUAAUACCCAUUGGGGCACUGAUGAUACAUAUGAGUAAUAUUGCUUCUUUUAAUUAGAAUUUAAAGUUGUAUGAAUUAGUGUUGUAGUAGGAAACUCAAUUUUCAUAGUAAUGUCAGAAAGAUGGAAUGAAGGAUGUUUCCUUAUGAAGUAAGAUACUAUUAAACUUUAGUACAAUGGAGAAUUUUGUUCACAUGCAUCAUCAAUCUAUUAUGCUUUACACAUCCCGGUCUGUGUUUCUUAAUGUAAGCAAUUAAGAUUAACAGGCUAUGAAAUUUGGACAAGGGCAGCCUUAAAAUGUCUGUUUGUUAACAGUCUAAGGCUGAUAUUAGAUGCUUUCAAUUUCACAAAGUCAAAGGUAGUUUAAUUUCAUCGCAAAGGAGGAUUUAUAAGAAAGAAAGGAGGACGCAUUAA